UGGGGGCGUUACCGGAUACUGGGCGUAAGCGUGCGCAGGCGGAUUGUUAAGCAAGACGUGAAAUCCCCGGGCUUAACCUGGGAAUGGCGUUUUGAACUGGCAGUCUAGAGUGUGUCAGAGGGGGGUGGAAUUCCACGUGUAGCAGUGAAAUGCGUAGAGAUGUGGAGGAACACCAAUGGCGAAGGCAGCCCCCUGGGAUAACACUGACGCUCAUGUACGAAAGCGUGGGUAGCAAACAGGAUUAGAUACCCUGGUAGUCCACGCCCUAAACGAUGUCAACUGGUUGUUGGGGGAGUGAAAUCCCUUAGUAACGAAGCUAACGCGUGAAGUUGACCGCCUGGGGAGUACGGUCGCAAGAUUAAAACUCAAAGGAAUUGACGGGGACCCGCACAAGCGGUGGAUGAUGUGGAUUAAUUCGAUGCAACGCGAAAAACCUUACCUACACUUGACAUGUCCGGAAUCCUGCAGAGAUGCGGGAGUGCCCGAAAGGGAAUCGGAACACAGGUGCUGCAUGGCUGUCGUCAGCUCGUGUCGUGAGAUGUUGGGUUAAGUCCCGCAACGAGCGCAACCCUUAUCAUUAGUUGCUACGCAAGGGCACUCUAAUGAGACUGCCGGUGACAAACCGGAGGAAGGUGGGGAUGACGUCAAGUCCUCAUGGCCCUUAUGGGUAGGGCUUCACACGUCAUACAAUGGUCGGUACAGAGGGUUGCCAAGCCGCGAGGUGGAGCCAAUCCCAGAAAGCCGAUCGUAGUCCGGAUUGUUCUCUGCAACUCGAGAGCAUGAAGUCGGAAUCGCUAGUAAUCGCGGAUCAGCAUGUCGCGGUGAAUACGUUCCCGGGUCUUGUACACACCGCCCGUCACACCAUGGGAGUGGAAUCUGCCAGAAGUAGUAGCCUAACCGCAAGGAGGGCGCUUACCACGGUGGGUUUCAUGACUGGGGUGAAGUCGUAACAAGGUAACCA
rnacentral:rRNA from 1 species